AUGGCCGGCUGUGCUGCCGCGCAGGCCUCACCGCCCCACCUUACUCCCAUCACUGGCCUAGCCAUCCCUCUACUCACCCACACCUGUUGUUAUUCUCCGACGACGGCAGACGAACCAGUAAACCCUCGUACAGUCGUACUCCCCUCUGCGUGGGAAACAACUGCCGAGUCUUCCCUGCCUCCGUGUCAUUCCCUUCCUAGGUCUCGCCGUCGUCCACCGCCCUGGUGCUUUCGGCACUGCCUGGUCAACGUGGUCAACGACCGACAAGCAUCUGAAGUGGACUGUACGUGGAGAGACCGACAGUUGGGUCCAUGGCCGCACGCAAGAAAAUGCCUCCCUAUUACGUGCAAAAUAAUGAUUCCUCCACCUGACAUCAAGGACCCACCGAAAGGGCCUCUGUAUUUCGCGAAAAAACGUUACCGCCGCUGA
rnacentral:rRNA from 1 species